rnacentral:rRNA from 1 species
UACAGAGGGUGCGAGCGUUGUUCGGAAUUACUGGGCGUAAAGCGCGCGCAGGCGGCUCUUUAAGUCUGACGGUGAAAUGCCGGGGCUCAACCCCGUGCCCGCCGCGGAUACUGGAGGGCUGGAGACACGUAGAGGCAAGCGGAAUUCCGGGUGUAGUGGUGGAAUGCGUAGAGAUCCGGAGGAACACCAGCGGCGAAGGCGGCAUCCUGGACUGGUCCUGACACUCAGGAGCGAAAGCGUGGGGAGCGAUCCGG